rnacentral:rRNA from 1 species
GUUAGGAAUAUUGGACAAUGGGCGCAAGCCUGAUCCAGCCAUGCCGCGUGAGUGAUGAAGGCCUUCGGGUUGUAAAGCUCUUUAGUCCACGAAUAUAAUGACUGUAGUGGAAGAAUAAGCCCCGGCUAACUUCGUGCCAGCAGCCGCGGUAAUACGAAGGGGGCGAGCGUUAUUCGGAAUCACUGGGCGUAAAGCGUGCGUAGGCUGUUUUGUAAGUCAGAAGUGAAAGCCCAGGGCUUAACCCUGGAAUUGCUUUUGAAACUACAAGACUCGAAUUCGGGAGAGGAUAGCGGAAUUGUCAGUGUAGCAGUGAAAUGCGUAGAUAUUGACAGGAACACCAGUGGCGCAAGCGGCUAUCUGGACCGAUAUUGACGCUGAGGUGCGAAAGCGUGGGGAGCAAACAGGAUUAGAAACCCGGGUAGUCC